AGGAACGUCAAAACCUUCCAUAUUUCAUGUUGGCUCUGAUCACUAAAAAUCAAUUUUUAUAAUUUGUAAUAUAUAUGGCUUUACGCAGUUUCGAGCCGUAUGGCCUAGACGCGUGACGCCCUCAUCUCCAUUUUAGUAGCAUAUGCGCUUUGAAUUAUUUAUUACAAGAGCAGAAGGCGUCGCAGCAACAGCAACAGCAACAGCAGAAGCGGAAGCAGAAGCAGAAGCAGUAGAAAUAGCAGAGCAGCAGCAGGUUUCAUUUUGGCAAAAGCAAGCAAUUAUGUGUAACGUGGCGUAUGCGCAAUCUUCAAAAGCAAGAAAAUUAAUUAGUUCGCCAGCUGCUGGCUGCUGGAGGGGCGCUGAGCUGGCCUUUGUGGUUAACAAGCGAGCUGAUAAUGAAUCGAUUUGUUUGAGCAGCAGCAAAAAUGUACAGCCAAAUGGACAGAGCAAUUUUUAAACAGUUGAACCCGGAAUCCCCCCAAAAAUGGAAGCGAAACUGUGUUUUAAAGUUAAGGCUAGAACGCAUUUUAAACAAUCAUUCAUACUAAAGGGAGCUUUGUCUUUGUAUCAACUGAUAAACAUGAUAUUUACAAAUGUCUUACUUUUUGAUGAUAUCUGUAAAAUAAAUUAUUGAAUUUUCAUUAUAUUAAAAAAUUAAUUGGAAA